rnacentral:rRNA from 1 species
CUACGGGCCGCACCAGUGGGGAAUAUUGGACAAUGGGCGCAAGCCUGAUCCAGCAAUGCCGCGUGAGUGAAGACGGCCUUAGGGUUGUAAAACUCUUUCGCUAGGGAAGAUAAUGACUGUACCUAGUAAAGAAGUCCCGGCUAACUCCGUGCCAGCAGCCGCGGUAAUACGGAGGGGACUAGCGUUGUUCGGAAUUACUGGGCGUAAAGAGUUCGUAGGCGGACUGACGAGUUAGAGGUGAAAUCCCAGGGCUCAACCCUGGAACUGCCUUUAAAACUGUCAGUCUAGAGACCGGAAGAGGUUAGGGGAAUACCUAGUGUAGAGGUGAAAUUCGUAGAUAUUAGGUGGAACACCAGUGGCGAAGGCGCCUAACUGGUCCGGUACUGACGCUGAGGAACGAAAGCGUGGGGAGCAAACAGGAUUAGAUACCCUAGUAGUC